rnacentral:tRNA from 10 species
GGGGAAGUAGCUCAGCUGGGAGAGCGCUGCGUUCGCAAUGCAGAGGUCGGGAGUUCGAUCCUCCUCUUCUCCACCA